rnacentral:pre_miRNA from 1 species
AUUGUACUUCAUCAGGUGCUCUGGUACAGCUUCACCCGGCACCUGUUGGAGUGCAAUUU